GAUAUAGAAAUCAAAUAGAGAAAAAUAAAUAAAGAAUAUAUCUUGGUAUGGAUCAAUCUUCACCACAAACUGAUGUUCAUGAAUAUCUUCUGAAGGUCUCUUAUAACUGUACAAGCAUCUGGCCUCUACGGAUAUCCAUAUGAGACUCUUAUCUGAUCAGAAGCUUUUUGAUAUCACUGAGGUGCUAGCUCCCUUACAGAGAUCGCAUCUUGAUAGUUGAAAAUCUUCUUUUCUCUCAAGAUACUCUUAAAGAAGAAGAAGAGGUAGAAGGAUGUUGAUCUCUAUGCUAGAGAUCAUGAGAAAAAUCCUUUCUUCUCUUUUCUUCCUUAAAUCCAUACACCAAAUCUCUAGAAUAGAGAUAUAAAAAUUUUGUCCAACUUUUUGAUAAAGAAGAUAGGAGACACCCAUGUCCAAACAAAGACAAAAGAGAGGAGAGGAGAUGUCCUAACAAGCAACCUUUGGUUGUGUAAGAAAGGAUAUGAAGCAACCAUACCUCAUGCCAGCCACCGCCAUGUUGUGCCCUCUCCCUUCAUUAUUUUUCACACACAAACUCCCUCCUUUUGGGCAUCAAAACCUGAUCAUUAUCUGAUCUACACGUCCCAUGAUGCAUGAUUUAAAUAGGGAAGAGAUAGAGUUAGACUUUGGAUAGGAAAUUAGAGUCCAAACCUCUUAGGACUCUACCACAAUUCGUGCUGCCCACCCUUCUUUUGUUUGCACCCAGAUUUCACACAAAAGAAGGAGUUUUCGAAAGCUUUUUACAUGCCAAAAACUAAUGCAAAAAACAAAGGGAUGU
rnacentral:lncRNA from 1 species